UAUUACAAAAAAGGGCCAGCCUUGUCACACUCUGUGUCAUGUUGGCUCUCCCUGAGAACUGCGUUAGGGGUACUCGUGUCUGCGGAAUGCUCAGCCACGUGAACGUUAAUUUCACGAGCAAGCUGUCCCAUUGAUCGCAUCAGCUGGGACCCUCGUCAUCGUAACCGACGGAGUGCUCCUAAGAUAUAUAUAUAUAUAUAUAUAUGUAUAAGGG